GGCAUACCCAUGUGUUUUAAUUGUAAAAAUCCCUUGGGUUUUACUUUAAGUGAUCUAAGAAAAUAUUUAAUUUUCUAAUGCAGCUAAAAAAGAGCAAACAGUGAUGGUUCCAUGGAAAUUUUUAGUGAAUAUCCCUAAGAAGACUGCUGAUUCAAAGCAAGUGCGUAUUAGAUAUUAAUAGGAAACAAAAAACAUAACCUUAUAACUUGGCAGGUUCAGCUCUCGUGCUUGUCAAAUGCAAUCAAAGGCGAUAUAUGCUAAAGCAGGUGAAAGUAUUGCAAAAGUGUACAUGUUUAAAAAACAUCUAGCAUAAUAAGCUAGCAUCAUGAAUAUGCUUAACAACAGAUUACUAAAACAUGUGUGCAUCCAAAGCCAUUUGACGGAGACACAAAAGCAUCAACCAGUUC
rnacentral:lncRNA from 1 species